ACCUGGGUGGCUCAGUCGGUUAAGCAUCUGACUUCAGCUCAGGUCAUGAUCUUGUGGUUUGUGGGUUCAAGUCCCGCAUCAGGCU
rnacentral:tRNA from 1 species